AAAGCAAAGAGAUCAUGUGACAAUCAGCGCCACAUGAGGUGGAAACAUCGAUGAAGGGGACCUGUAACAUCUAUCUGAGCUGCACUGCCUGUUAGCAGGUUUCCUUCCAGUGGGAAGCUAUAUGUCUGCAUAUGCUGACAUCUGAAAGAAAUGCACUGCUCACAGCACUCUGACCUGCUGUCUCUUUGGAAUGUUCCAGUUAUGGGAGCCACAGUAGAUCAGCUCAUAUUAGUCUGAACUCUGCAACCCUCAGGUGAAGACCAUGGUUCACGACAACAUCAUUUAUCAUUUAUAGCUCAUUUAAAAUUCUUCCUCAGUGCCUUUCCCAUCACCAAAGAUUUAAUUUGCGCUUUUAUAGUGCUUUGGUUGUUGCAAUACAAUAAGUGGAUUUUCAUUAUUUGUCUGAGAACAAUCAAAAGGUUUCUAUAGGUUUAGUUUACUUCAUCAGUUUAGGUGCCUGGUUUAGCAGCUGUUGCUUUUAACAUGA